GUAGUUAUCUAUUGAAUCUUGAAACUUCUGUUCACUCACAAUUCUUCAGACCACAAAACAAUGGUCGUUGACAACCGCCUCAAGCACAACGAUAUUUGUUGUAAUAUUACAGUAGCUCUGGUCAGUGUGUAAUCCCUGACGUCAGAACUUAAUCGCCGGAGAGGAUUGCCUGAAAACGAUCGGUUUACUGGCGAAAACAGAGCGGUUUUCCGGUGAUUAUAGGGAGAGAAAGAGGAACAGUUGUAGAGAGAGAAAGUGAACAGUGGAUCUCCAAAAAACCGUCAUCUCCGGCGACGAUUAAACAGCCGAGAUCGGAGGAACCGCGUCGUCGCUGCCGGUGAAUGUGCCGGACUGGUUGAAGAUGAUUGUAGUGCCGGUUAACCGGUGAGAUGAAUCGCCGGAGGAAGGUUUCCAGAAAAAAAUGUUGGAGAUCAAAGUGGAUUCUCGUGCAUGAGAAGAGAGCAAUCGUGCUGAUAACGUGAUAUAAACCAAUUGGAAUUCUCUAUUAGAUUGCAAGUGAUUGUAUUAAAUCUUCUGGAAAAACCAACAUCAAAAUAACAAUAUACAAGAGUAUUAUAUAAUACAUGCAGUUACAAGAUGUUAACUGCCAAGGCAGUUACAUGGGGGAAACGUACAAGGUGUUAACUGCCAAGGCAGUUACAUGGGGAAAACGUAUAUCUGGUUUUAUAAC
rnacentral:lncRNA from 1 species